CCCUUAGAUGUUCUGGGCCGCACGCGCGCUACACUGACGGAGGCAGCGAGCAUGUCCUUCGCCGAGAGGUGUGGGGAAUCUUGUGAGUCUCCGUCGUGCUGGGGAUAGAUGGUUGCAAUUGUCGAUCUUAAACGAGGAAUUCCUAGUAAACGCAAGUCAUCAGCUUGCAUUGAUUACGUCCCUGCCCUUUGUACACACCGCCCGUCGCACCUACCGAUUGAAUGGUCCGGUGAAAUCUCCGGACUGGCGUGAGUCGGAGCAAUCUGACAAACACCGGAAAGUUGAUUAAACCUUACCAUUUAGAGGAAGGUGAAGUCGUAACA
rnacentral:rRNA from 1 species